AACUUCUGGAUUAUGACAAAUAAUGUCUUAAGCCCUUAAAUGCAUUUCAAUCACCUGCCUAAUAAAAUUAUACAGCUUUAACUGCAGCAGAAGAACCUCCCUCUCAGUAAUGAUGCAUAAAUAAAGAAAAAGACCAGCACGCAUUUCUUUAAUCCCCCUCCCAUUGUGAAUCUUAUUUCCAGACUGUGAUCCAGGGCUAAUUGGAGAACUUUGGGUAAGUCCCACAUGGUUGCCAAUAGUGACGGCUCCGGUUGAUCUUCACCUGUCAAAGCAAGACUUUGACUAAAGACUUGCAGCUUGGGAGGAGGAAACCAAAACAAAAAAGGAGGGAAAGAAAAAACAACGCAUAUAAACUGGUCUCUCACUGCCAUGGCUUUUCAAAACAGAAAUGCAUGACUGACCAUCAGAGGCACCCCAGGGAGGCAGCAGGCACGGUCCGCUGCUGCUUAAAGACUUGGCUGCGGAGCCAAAGACACAUCUGGUCCGUUUGAGCCGUGCAGAUGCUACUUGGAACCAUCUCCAUUCCAAAGAAUCGUCUGAAAGAAUACGGCACAUUUUGUUUCUAGGCAACAUGGUGAAGGUGCAAGCUGAUGUCCACGGACCUGUUCCAGCGCUGAUGGAAAAUCUGCACUGUGAUGCACACAAGAUCUUGCGGGUGUUGCUUGAGAGAGACACAGUUCCAUGUGGCCCUGGAGAGCCAUGAAGCCGGAAUUGCACCAUUCCUGGUCCAGUCCAGACAGAAGGGCCUGUCUGGAAUGCAAUGUGUUGGCCAUCUGCAGACGGAUGUUCAUAGCCGCUCUCAAAAGACCAAACACUCGCCUGAGAAAGUCCACAUCAGAACAUCGGAUGGUGGCAGCUGCCCAAUUUUGUCAUCUCUUUGCCGUCUCCAUUCAUCUGUGAGCAUAAAAUGUGGAAACUCAUUCUUUGGUUGAUUUAUUGAUUUAGUAAUCAGUCCGAACCAUCUGCUUGCAUGAAAACUAGGUCAUGCUGAAAGCCGAGGACACAACAGCGACGGUUUUGUCAGAGAAUAAGGUUGCUCUAAGAAAUAUGCGACUUUUAUCAACACCGAGUUCAUCGGGACAUGCUCGGGUGACGGAACAGGGAUGGAAGAAGAUGAAAGACUUGCGCUUUUUCUCUGAUCCUUUCGUUCGCUCUUAUUGUCUCCUCAGCGUUCUCCUGAGAUGAGGGUUAUGGACUACAGAGAGGUUGAAUUUGGCUGCAUUCCAGCCACAUCUGCUCUACUGCUGUUGCACUUCUCUCUCUUGUAUUUUUACACUUACUGCUCUCGUUUAUUGCAGCAUGCGCACACGUUUUCAGUCUUUAGAAAGACACUAAUGACACGUUGCCUAUGGAUUAGAAUUGAACCAAGGCGUUCCUUGAUUUCCUGAUUCAGUUAGGUAUGGCAGGAUAAAAAUGGUUCAGUAAGAGAAUACCUUAUAGAUAGUAUUAUUAAUAUAUUUUACAUUCCCUAACACUUUUAUGUCAGAACAGUUUGGACUGAGCAUUUGGACUGAGAUGAGGCAGUUUCAACAGGAAUAUAAUCUGGAACGAAUUGAGCAAAUUGAUGGGUAAAUCUCAAGUUCCCAGUGUCUUUUCAUGUAAACUGGCUGAAAUUCUGUGGAAGACCUAAGUUCUCAGCAUAUACAUGGCAAAUGUCCAAUAUAUGACAUCUGCACACUUUUUCAGUCUGUAGCAAGACACUAAUGACACGUUGCCUAUGGAUUAGAAUUGAACCAAGGCGUUCCUUCAUUUCCUGAUUCGGUUAGGUAUGGCAGGAUAAAAAAAAACAGUUUUUUUUUUUAAAUAGAGAUUUACUUAGUGGUUAACACAGCCUUGGUGCUCAUAUGGCUGACUAGAGUUUGAACCUGGAGAUGUCCUAUACUCCUUUUCCUGUUUACUCUAUAAUGUUGAUAGCAAUUAACCCAAUAAUACCCAGAUUUUACCCAAAGAUGUUGGAAUUUGAAAUUAUCGGCCAAGUUCAUAGGACGUUAAACUUAUAGGAAGUUUAAUUUAUAGUAACAAAUCAGAAAUAAUUAUGUAACUAAUAAAUUUUUUGGACAAUCAGUUUAGAUUUAUAAUAUGUUUGUGUGUUAUGUGAUGUGUGUGGCAAUGUCCGGCCAUCUGUUUGUGACCUCAAGCUGAAGCAAACUUGGGUUCUGCAGCAGGACAAUGAUCCAAAACACACCAGCAAGGCCACCUCUGAAUGGCUGAAGAAAAACAAAAUGAAGACUUUGGAGUUGCCUAGUCAAAGUCCUGUUGAAAUGCUGUGGUGUGACCUUAAAAAGGCGGUUCAUGCUCAAAAACCCUCCAAUGUGGCAACAAUUCUGCAAAGAUGAGUGGGCCAAAAUUCCUCCACAGCGCUGUAACAGACUCAUUGCAAGUUAUCACAAACGCUUGAUUGCAGUUGUUGCCGCUAAGAGUGGCCCUACCAGUUAUUAGGUUUAGGGGGCAAGCACUUUUUCACACAGGGCCAUGUGGGUUUGGAUUUUGUUUUCCCUUCAUAAUAAAAACCUUCAUUUAAA